rnacentral:misc_RNA from 1 species
GUUUUCUAUUUUAGUACAUUGCAAUCCUGGAGCAUCCUUCUUUACUAUGAAACCGUUUAUCUGGUUUGUGGAUGUAUUUCUAGCAAAAAUAACCAAUAUGUCGGCAAAAGUGCUGUUUCCUAUCCAACGCUUUUGCCCUUCAAGGAUCCAACCUCCUUCAACCUUUCUGGCAGUAGUCCCCAAUCCACUUGCAUCACUUCCAUAGUCAG